rnacentral:rRNA from 1 species
AUUGAACGCUGGCGGAAUGCUUUACACAUGCAAGUCGAACGGCAGCACGGGGCAACCUGGUGGCGAGUGGCGAACGGGUGAGUAAUACACCGGAACGGGCCCAAUCGUGGGGGAUAACGUAGCGAAAGUUACGCUAAUACCGCAUACGAUCUACGGAUGAAAGCGGGGGAUCGCAAGACCUCGCGCGAAUGGAGCGGCCGAUGUCAGAUUAGGUAGUUGGUGGGGUAAAGGCUCACCAAGCCGACGAUCUGUAGCUGGUCUGAGAGGACGACCAGCCACACUGGGACUGAGACACGGCCCAGACUCCUACGGGAGGCAGCAGUGGGGAAGUUUGGACAAUGGGCGCAAGCCUGAUCCAGCCAUUCCGCGUGCAGGAUGAAGGCCUUCGGGUUGUAAACUGCUUUUGUACGGAACGAAACGGCGAGCUCUAAUACAGUUUGCUAAUGACGGUACCGUAAGAAUAAGCACCGGCUAACUACGUGCCAGCCGCCGCCGUAAAAC